UUAUUUACUAUUUAGGCUGCUAGGCUCUGUUCACUGUCUGCUAUUAAAUGUAGUUGUCAAGAACCGAGAAGGUACGCAAUAAAUCAACUAUAUAGCUGUUGAUAUUACUCUAUCUCCCCAUGGUCUCUAUCUCUCUCAAUUCCCUCCUUAUCUAUUCCCUUUCCAAUUUAAAUCGCCGGAACCCUAUGUCGGGGUCAUUACAAUGGAGGACGCACGGUUGUGCGUGUUCUGUGCGUCUUUCGCUUCACUUUCACGCACGACCGUGCGUGUUCGGCUUCACUUUCACACAAGGCCGUGCGUGUUCGGCUUCACUUUUACGCACGGAGGACAACAGCCGUGCGUGUGCCGUGCGUCCCAGCUGCUUCAUUCCGACCAUUCCUCUCCAUUUCAAUUUUGGUCAGUUUCGACAUCUAGGACUCAAAACUUGAUUUUUAUUUGGAUUUUGAGUUGUUCUUCGCAAUUCCUAGAUGCUUCCAGUCCUUUGAAGUCUAUCAUCCCUUGAUGCUGCUUUUACCUGGAAUUUGCGAUUUCGACCCAAGUUUCUGAGUUUGUCUUUGUACCAAGGUUUGUAGUUCCAUGCUAGUUCAGAAACUGCACUUCUGACUAUCCCAUUUCAUCCAAUUUGCCAUCUGGAAUAAGGUUAAUGAAGAAAUCAGAAGCUGGCGAUAUUGAGUUUGAAUUUGUUGCAUGAUCUCCUUAUAUUAAUUCUGGACUGGCCAUGUUAUUUAUAGGUACAUUACAUGAGCCUAACAAAAUUAUGAUAGUUCACCCUUUCAUGAUCCCAUCACAAGCUUCUACCUUGUGUUUUUGUUGGAUAUGCAGUGAGAAGAAGCAUGAUAUGGGAAAACAAGCUUGGAAUGAACAUCAGUACGUAGGUGUGCUUGUUUAAUUGUUCAUAUGUUGCGGAAUGCACCUCCACUUAGACAAGAUUCUCGCAGUAUUAUUAUGUUUCUUUGAUGAAUCAACAGCUAGCUUCUUCCUAUUGAAACCCAAUUCACAUCCAAAUUGGCUCAUGAGUAGUUGAAAUGCAGAAAUUAUGAUUUCUGCAAUUUUCAUUACACAAGAGUCACAAUAUAUUGUGUAGACUUGGUACAUGAUGAUAUCUCUUGUGAUAUAUGCCUGACAAUAUCCUGUUUGUUUCUCAGGUGGUUGGUUCAUUUCAGCUGCUACAAUUUCCAGGGCAGUUCCUUAAUUGCCACAUAUUCAAGCUCUGGCCUUUUCUUGGGAUUAUGUUCCAGGUAGGAUGUUGUUAUACGACUCUUACAAGUACUGUAUAAUCUGGCAUAAAGUCCAACUCUUGUUUCAUGACAGAUUCCACUUAUAAAGAUCAAAGCCAUUAUAUCACACAGGCAUACAUAUAUAUGUGUAUGUAAUGAAGAGUGUCUGUCAAUAAACACUAGAGCAAGAAAUGCAAUAGCCAGGUGUUGUUGAUCAUUGUGAAUCUCCGAGGGGAUCUUCAUAGACUCGCCUUGAAACCUCUGUCGUCCCAAGUCAUCACCAGAGGGAAAGACCAACCCACCAAACAUUUUCUCCAUAUAACUUGCAGCUAAAAUGAACAUCUCCCUUGGAAAAGCUAGCAUAACACCAUAACCAUUAAUGAACAUCUCCCUUGGAAAAGCUUAUCAUUUGAUGCCACACGGAAUGAUCAUUUCGCCAUCGGUUAAUGAAGAAAUCAGAAGCUGGCGAUUUAAGUUAUGGUGGUAGUGUUUGAAUAUGUUGCAUGGUCUUCUUCUUUUAAUUCUGGACUCCCAUGUUAUCAGUCUAUUCAUUCAUAGAUAUGGUUAUUGAUAAGAUCAAAUCCAUUUAUUUAUAGGUACUCAAAGAUAACAGAGAUGAUUCAGGACGGACGAUAUAGAUGACUGUGACUUGUCAUGUCCUUUCGACUACAUGUGAUGUUCCAAAUCAGGUGCUUGGUUGUUUUUCAUGUCUGUCAGGGCAAUUUAUUGCAUGGUUCUAAGUGGUAGUUCAUUCACAGUUUAGUUCUGAUGAUUAUAUCUUAAUCAUGGAAAAUUAGACCCAUUUGUUAACUGCAUAUCUAAUUGCAUGGUCUCAAGUAAUGCUUGUGAUAUGGUAUGCAUGUAAAAGCUGUUGCUGAGUCUAUGUCUACCACAAUGAUGAACAGCAAUUCAAUCACACUUGAUUUCAUCUCGGGGUUUAGUACUUGUAAUACAGGAGGAUAUUAUGCUUACAAAUUCAAUGGUGCAAGUCCAAAACAGUUUGAUGUUUAAUGGUGCAUGUCCCACCGUAUUAGCUUUGCUGUCUAAACAGUUGAUGUUUUUAUAAGGCACAUGAGCAUAACAAAAUUCGAUCGGCAUAGUUCACGUUGUUAUGGUCUCAUAUGACACUAGCUUAAUUUUUUUAUUUGGAUUCCGAUUUUUGGAUAAUUUUAAUAUUAAAUAAUGAUUUAUUUGAUCACAUCGAUGAUAUAUAUCCAUUGUCAUCCUCACCUUUAUGUCUUUGACCACGUACACCGUAAGUUUUUAGGUUGUCUUGUUUCUAGGUGUAGUGGUUUACUAGUCAAAAUAUUCGAGAAAAAUAUUAUACAUAAAUCUGUCAAAAGCCAUCAACUGAUCAAAAGUAUAUGUGGUUUAUACAUUUUUCUUAGCUCCGAGUUUAAGAAGACAUAAUGACUGAACUUUUGACACGGUGAGAGAGAGUUUGUAAAUUUAUGAUAGUUUACUUUUCGAACCCUCUCAAAUACAAUAGUUCCUUUAAAUCUUAAAAAUUGGGGUCCAAUGUUCAGACAUCCGGUUCAUUUU
rnacentral:lncRNA from 1 species